rnacentral:rRNA from 1 species
GACGGGGGAUGCGAGCGUUAUCCGGAAUGAUUGGGCGUAAAGGGUCCGCAGGUGGCCCGGUCAGUCCGCUGUCAAAGCCUGGGGCUCAACCCUGGAGAGGCGGCGGAGACCACCGGGCUUGAGUCCGGUAGGGGCAGGUGGAAUUCCCGGUGUAGCGGUGGAAUGCGUAGAGAUCGGGAAGAACAUCAGUGGCGAAGGCGGCCUGCUGGGCUGUUGCUGACGCUGAGGCGCGACAGCGUGGGGAGCAAACAGG